UACGUAGGGGGCAAGCGUUGUCCGGAUUUAUUGGGCGUAAAGAGCGUGUAGGCGGUUUGGUAGGUCCGUUGUGAAAACUCGAGGCUCAACCUCGAGACGCCGAUGGAAACCAUCAGACUAGAGUCCGGAAGAGGAGAGUGGAAUUCCUGGUGUAGCGGUGAAAUGCGCAGAUAUCAGGAAGAACACCCGUGGCGAAGGCGGGUCUCUGGGCCGAUACUGACGCUGAGGAGCGAAAGCGUGGGGAGCGAACAGG
rnacentral:rRNA from 1 species